rnacentral:lncRNA from 1 species
GUAGAUACUUGAAACUCGAUUUAAACAAGAAAAACAACCAAAGUAGCUUCCAGGUGCAAGAAUUGACCCAGAGAGUUUUUAAAGAAACCAAUAGGUAACCCUAGAAACCACAAGAUAGCUAGAACCCAAUAGAGGUUUUUCAAACCAAUAUGCAACAAAUCCCAGACCAAGAUAUGAGCAGAAAACAAAAGAGAAAUCCCAACAGUUGCAUAAGACCAAUGAAACAGUGGCUAUUUUUGUAGUUUUCUAUCUUCUAUAUGCAGUUUUUUGGUGUUUUUGUAUAUUU